AGACUGCCUUCCUCAGUGCUGGGCACUGAUCCUGGAUGCAGUAGGCUCAAGGACUGUAGCUGUGGGCACACAUUAUUUGUGAUGAAGUGUCAUUCUAUUACCAGUGGAUUUUUUGGUUUUGUUUUGUUUUUUUAAAUAAAGCGGACUGUCCUUCCAGCAAUGACAGCUCAGAUGCAAGUAAAUCUCAGAUCACCAUGAAAAUUAAAUGUGCUACAGUAAGAACCAUAUCAGUUCAAUGGAAAUAAUUAUAACCACUGUCUUCAAACAUUCACAGAAUUCAUCACAGACAGGCUGGUAAAGCUUCAUAAGAAAAUUGGAUGGCAGAGCUGUCCAAUGAUAGAAGCAUCCUACAGCAUAUUUCCCAAGGAGGAAGAAAUCAUUCCUCUGGAUUUUGAGCAUUAGAAGAAUGUGAUUUUGCUCCAAAAACAAUAUUAAAAGAGUUU
rnacentral:lncRNA from 7 species